rnacentral:misc_RNA from 1 species
GCGGUGCUGAUUAGGGGUUGUUCUUACUCUCCCUUGCAAUUAUUUUGUACUUGUAGGGGUGCAUGUAGGCACGGUCCUUGUGAUGCGGUACGUGAUGGUGUGUGAGUGGUAUUUGGUUUGUGUGGUUGGCGGGCUCUUUGCUUGUGCAUUGGACCGUUCACCAACAUACCUUUUCAUUGUAUGCUGCAAGUGCACCAUUUUGCCUUGGGCGACGUGUGGUCCCUAUGUUGGAUUCCGAUUAACGGUAUUGUUGUUGUCCCUUUAAAGAGUGAUAUUCGCUCUACGUCCGUAAAAGGAGGUCGAGCGGACCAUGAAACUUGACUCGUUAUCCUCCUGUUUUGUGAAAACAAGCAUGAUAGGGUUGGAUUAUGAUCUCAAGUUGGGCCCUAGGAUACAGAAAGUUGUGUGGGAGUUGAUGUAAAAACGUCGCAAACCCAAAGCGUUGGUACGCUAAUGAUGGAUGACAUUCGAGUGUGUUGUGAUUCUUUCAUUCUAGAAAGGUUCAUGCUCGCCGAUGUCGACCAAGGAGUGCUACCUGGUUGAUCCUGCCAGUAGUCAUAUGCUUGUCUCAAAGAUUAAGCCAUGCAUGUGUAAGUAUGAACUAAUUCAGACU